rnacentral:rRNA from 1 species
GUAGGGAAUAUUGCGCAAUGGACGAAAGUCUGACGCAGCGACGCCGCGUGAGUGAUGAAGGCCUUAGGGUCGUAAAGCUCUGUUGAAUGGGAAGAAAAAAAUGACGGUACCAUUCGAGGAAGGACCGGCUAACUUCGUGCCAGCAGCGGCGGUAAUACGAGGGGUCCUAGCGUUGUUCGGAAUCAUUGGGCGUAAAGGGUGUGUAGGUGGCCAUGUAAGUCAGGUGUGAAAGCCCCGGGCUCAACCCGGGAAGUGCACUUGAUACUGCGUGGCUUGAGUACCGAAGAGGGUAGUGGAAUUCCAGGUGUAGUGGUGAAAUACGUAGAUAUCUGGAGGAACACCGGUGGCGAAGGCGGCUACCUGGUCGAGUACUGACACUGAGACACGAAAGCAUGGGGAUCAAACAGGAUUAGAAACCCGUGUAGUCC